AAAGGCUGCUGUGUGUCGUUGCAGAUGUGACGAGUACGUCACGCAGCUGGAUGAAAUGCAGCGGCAGCUCGCGGCGGCCGAGGAUGAGAAGAAGACUCUGAACUCCUUGCUCCGGAUGGCUAUCCAGCAGAAACUGGCCUUGACCCAGCGCCUGGAACACUUGGAGCUGGACCACGAGCAGUCCAAAAGGGUGCGCACAAAAUCCGCCUCCAAAGCCAAGGGCAGUAACCCCAGCAUGCUCAGCCCUUGCUCCCGCGCUGCCUCUGCCUAGUCAGGAGACAUCCCAGUGCUAACAGAAGGUAAUAAACAGCACAGCUGCUUUUCCCACUCGAGGGAAAACCACCUGAGAUUUUGGCUUCCCAGAUAUUUCAGGGUACUGGGGGGAGGGGGGGAGAAGUCUUCUGGAAAUUCAUACAGUGAGACUUCAAACAAAUGGAACUUUGCUACAAAGCUGGGAACCGUGGGAAUGCCACCACCCAGAGCCAGAAUUGUAUUUAUUGAUACGGAGAGGAGGAUAAAAACCCCAAGUGAUGCAGUUCUGAUAUGUUGCUCAAACAUCACUGCUUGGGAAGUUUAAACAAACUGCAAUUCUGGGUUUAGAAACUGGGCCCUGUGUGUCUGUUAUUACUUUUUUUAGAAAACACUGAAUUCUCCUGAAUUUGAGCUUUAAUAUUGCUAAAUAGCAGGUUUGAUAUUUUAGAAGAGGCAUCUUUUACAAUUUUCAAUCCUGCUUUUCUCUUCUUUGCUGCACAAUCUUCCAAAAGGCCUUUAUUCUUCUCAUUCCUGCAUUAAGUACAUUUUAAAAAUACUUGGUGAGAGCAGGUGUUUGAGUGCUAACCUUCUCUGCUUCUCUGCUUCAGUAGACACAGUUACAAUUCUGCUUCCGCUAUGGUAGGGAGCUUUAAAACAGUUUUCACUGCUUCCAUGUCUCUAAUGACAGUAUUUUUGCAAAAUAAUGAUGGCAAAAAGAUAAACUGGAGAAUGCAUUGUUAUGUUGCAUAAUUGAAUGCAUUGUUAGGGUGUUUUUUUUUUCCAAAUUAUCUGGAAUUUUCUGUAAAGAUUUCGGUGUUACCAGAUAGGUGACUAUUGCUGUCAGACUUGGCUCAUUCUUUCAGUUCCAAGUAUGAACAAUUCUGCUAUUAGCCCAGUAAUCUUAGUGGUCCUUUCCACCUUCAGUCAUUUCUGUGAGUCUUUUAAAACCCACAAAAGCCAGCCUGGCUGCUCUUCGAGCCUGUCACCGUUAUGGUUCAUCCUGUUAGGAAAAGAACUGAGGGACAGUGUAAAGUGACUCCAUCCUGCUGUUUGUGUUUUUAGAGAAUAUUUAAGACUGAGUCUUUUAAUUCUUGAUUUAUUUUUUUUUUUGAGACAUUCAUUUGCUGUGUAAGUCUUUCCUGUCAGUCUUAAUGGGUUGGGAUAAAGCAUGGAAAAUUCCUUAAGCCAUCACCUACCUCUGCGAGCAGGCUCUUCUGGAUGGUUCUCUGCAUAGGCCUGCAUGACACACUGACCUGCAUGUUUCUGGAGAACCUAAAGCUUCACUGAAAACAUUUCCUGUGCACCCAUGGCUGUUAACUCGUGCUUGAACAGCAAAGCUUUAUUCAGUACUUGUAAGAAUCCUUCUUUCUGCAAAGCUGUUGCUUCCAGGCUGAGCCCCUUGUUCACCCAGCUGGGAAGGUGGCCUGGCUGCUGCUCCCCCAGCCAGCUAACAGACCCCCAACCAACUAACCUGCACAUAGGUUUGUGUUUUCAGCUCUUUUAAUUGAGAAAUAAACACUGAUAUUUUUUUUUUCUAAUGCUAUUUUAUUUUUCCAUUUUUCAGCUGUAGAGUAGUCCCUGGAGAAGGCCUUUCCAACAGUGCAACAGCAUUUCUUAGCCUUCCUCACUCUGGUUCAAAGUGGUGGCCCAUUGCAGAGUGGAAACCACUGACCUGAUCCUAACUUUUGAAAACACCUUUUCCUAUAUACUACCUGAAACCUUCCCUUUCUGCCUGAAGCUAUGAAAAAACAAGCUUUACUUAUAAGUGCUGCUGCAGUAAGAAACCUUACAAGUGCUGAAGAAACCUACUUCAAAUGUAACCAUGUUAGUGUGUGCUCUCCUAGAAAUGUCGGAUGGGGGAAUUUAUUUCAUUGCAGAUGCUCUUUUUUUUUUUACCUGAUUGUUAAACCUGUGCACUUUUGAUAUUUUUCUUUAGCUUCUUUAAUUCCUUAUGUAGAAGAGUUUAUAUAAAUGCAGUGGUUUGUGCUCAUAGUCUCUCUCCAAUUUGGAACUUGUGAUUUAUGAAUUAUAUAUCAGCAUGUGGCAGAGAUUUUGGGGGGGCUCUAGAUUGUGAUUAGAAAAGAGUUUCAACAAAAAAACAGGAGCUCUGCUAAACUAUGUGCUGUGCUUCAGCAUUUUUUUUAUUAUUAUAAAAUGUUAAGCUUUAUAUGUUUAAAUUACUGAUUUUCUUUUUAACUGCCAUGUUCAUUAAGAAAUCCAGGGUAUUCAAAUUCUGGGGUUUUUUUCAUAUUGUAUUAUUAUUCUUAGGAAUAGUUCAAUGUAACAAGAAGAAAACUUGACUUUGUUCUGGUUAAAACAGUAAUAGGCACUUGAAAAAUAUUAAAUAAGUAGUAUUACCUAUAAAUUCCAGAAUUCCUGGGUUUUAGGAAGUUGAAGUAUUAUUGAUUAACAGAAUUUUAUACAACUAUACCAGUGAAAUUCCAAAUUGGAAUUGUUGUGUUACUUUUUCAUUUUAUUGUGCCAAAUUGUGGUACAUUUAGAAAGAAAAAUUCUAAAGUGGUCAAUGAUAGGGUGUUAUCUAUCAGCGCCUUUCUGUCACUCGUUAUUGCCAGUAGUGCCUUUGAUCAUUUGAAGGGAGACUCUUAGAGUAGCGUUGGGCCAAGUCCUGUCACUUAGGAGGAGUGGGAUGGCUGGGUUUGGGAAUUUAUUGAAGACGUGGAGCAAUAAGUGCAAAGUGAACUCCCCUUUCGCACAUUUUUAACGGUAGUCUUACUUAGAGAGAUUAUAUAUUCGAGGGAUUGUAAAAAAUUCUGUUAGUCAAUGAUAUUUCACCGUGCAAAUUCAGGGGUAGAGAGGAACAAGCAAACAAAACAAACAAACGAAACCACAAAGCUAAAGGAGCCCGACUGCAGGUGGGGAACCAACUGGCCUCCCGUUGGAUCCUCGCGGUCCCGGGCGCCGUGGGCGCGGCACAUCCACAUCUCCUCUUGCAUGUUGUACCCAGGUGUGAUUUCAGCAAACAGAAAGCGCAUCAACCAGCCCCGCUGGGCUUGUUGAGGCUCCUGGGAAUGAUUAAAUUGGUACUUGGGCUGGAGUGGGGAGGGAGUUCUCCCGCUCCUCAAAAACAAAAAUAAAAUAAAAAAGGACAAAUCGAACCAAUAUCGAUGGAAGAGAUUUCUGUUUGCUGGAAAAAGCAUUAUUAUUCCUAGAUGUGGGGACUUAUAUUUCCAUCUUCUGUUACAGUAUUGAUUCAUAAGAAAUAUUGUUGCAUUUAAAAUUACUACAUUUGUAUGUGGGUAUUUAUUUGAAAUGAUGUCAAAGUACUGUAUUAUGUUCUAUGUGCAUUACCUUUUAGUGGUGGGUUGGUCUCCAUUUAACGUCGUAUGCAUGUAAUCUUGCCAAGUAACCUUUACACAGACCUGAGGGAAAAAAAAAAGAGAAAAUGUGAGAACUUCUUCAAAGGAUAACUGCGUGUUAAUUGGAUAACCUUAGGAGGGGGUAGAGGGCAAAAAACGUUGCUUCCAGAUUAAUCAAACAGUGUUUAAUGUAGGAAGGCAAUGUGCCUGCGUAAAGGUGGUCACAUUGGCAGGAGCAAUAAAAGAGAAAAGGAAUUGUGUGUUCUGCCUCUUGGUUUUGUGGUUUAAGUCGUCUGCCAAAGUGAUUUUCAGCGUGAGGCCAAAUACACAGCGAUUUUUGUCUGGGAGAAACUGGAUACUUUGCAUGAAGUGUGCUGCAGAGCUAGAAAAUUAAUUCUUUGUGCUCAUAUUCAGGGAGAACCAUCCCUUAUUGUUCCAUGAGGAUUAUUUUUGGCCUGGAUCAGGCUGUUUUAAUGUGUGUCACUGAAUAGCUUUGCAAACACUCGUACCUGGUACAUGUUAAAGAAGGGUAGGACUUAAUGCUUUGGUGGCAGCGGUGACAAGUCAGCCUGAAAUUACAUCUUCAUUUCUCAUCUGCUCUCCAAAAUACUCGUGUACUCCAAGGGCUCCACCCAGCCUGGUCUGGAACACUUCCCUGGCAGUGUUCCAGGCCAGGCUGGACAGGGCCCUGAGCACCCUGGUCUAGUGAAAGAUGUCUCUGCCCAUGGCCCAGGGGUGGAAUGAAUGGUCUUUGAGGUCCCUUCCGACCAGUCAGGGAUUCUAUGAAAAAGCACUAAGUUGACGUUUGUCCAGUAGAUUCAACAAAACAAACUCACAAAAAGCCCCUGAAGGAGAAUGCCCCAAGUCUGAGGGCAAGGCUGAGGUUUGCCCCAUCCAUACAAAGAUGUCCCCAGAAUCAUAGAAUCAGCCAGGUUGGAAAGGACCUCUGAGAUGACUUGAUAUUGGCCCCUAGAAAUAUUAAAUCUGGUUUUAUACUCUAGUUUAAUGGCUCUUCUGUCCCCAGGUAGGGUUCCUACCUACCUGGUAGCAGUCCAGCUGCAUGACACCAGCUCUUCAACACAAUUUAUACCUGGAGAGCAAGAUGCCAGUUCUUCCUUGGACAUUGAAAACACUUGUUCAGUGGUGUGCAGUGAACUAACAGAGCCCUGCUUGUAGAGUUCUGCAUUUCUAAAACAGGAGCUUUACCUGCAGGAUGAUCUAGGGAAGAAACAUGGUGUAAAUCCAUCUGCAUUGAGACCAGGCCUGUUAAAUAGUUGAACAGUGUGAUUCAAGAAUGCCUUAGUAAGAAAGAAAAUGAGAGAACUAAAGGAGAAUAUUUAGAUUAAAAGCCUGUCUAGUGAAUGCCUAUUAA